GGAUUGUAGCUCAGUAGGUAGAGUGCUUGCCUUACACGCACAAGGUCCUAGGUUCAAUCCACAGCACCA
rnacentral:tRNA from 1 species